GUUUCCGCAACUCGACGACUUUGCGCCUAUUUUGCGUGUGUGGGAGUGAUUCGAUUCACUCUUGCCACCCAAGCUCCUCCAGAAACUUUAGAAGCUUUUUUGGCUUCUUGAAGAUCUCCGGAAGUGUCUCCAGGGUGCCAAGAUGUUGUGCCCGGUAAGCCGCUACACCUGGACAGUAAAGAAGUACAUGCGUAGCCGUUUCUUCUGUUCCCAUGCAAGCUCUGCACAGGGUAGAGUAUUGCUACAUAUUAUCA